rnacentral:rRNA from 1 species
AUUGAACGCUGGCGGCAUGCUUUACACAUGCAAGUCGAACGGUAACAGGCCUUCUGGUGCUGACGAGUGGCGCACGGGGGUGUAAUGCAUCGGAACGUGCCCAGCGGUGGGGGGUGACGCAGCGAAAGCUGUGCUAAUACCGCCUGUGAUCUGAGGAUGAAAGCGGGGGACCAGGCAGCAAUUUUUGGCCUCGCGCCUUUGGAGCGGCCGAUGUCAGAUUAGUUAGUUGGUGGGGUAAAGGCCUACCAAGCCGACGAUCGGCAGCUGGUCUGAGAGGGCGAACAGCCACACUGGGAGUGAGACACGGCCCAGAGUCCUACGGGAGGCAGAGGUGGGGAAUGUUGGACAAUGGGCGGAAGCCUGAUCCAGCAAUGCCGCGCGCGGGAAGAAGGCCUUCGGGGUGUAAACCGCUUUUGUACGGGACGAAAAGGUUCUGGAUAAUACCUGGGGUUGAUGACGGUACCGUAAGAAGAAGCACCGGCUAACUACGUG